rnacentral:rRNA from 1 species
UGGUGGAGUGAUUUGUCUGGUUAAUUCCGAUAACGAACGAGACUCCGUCCUGCUAAAUAGUCGUCGCGUUGCUUUUUUCUUGCGCGACGGAUUCUUCUUAGAGGGACGUGGCGGCAUCUAGCCGCACGAGAUGGAGCAAUAACA